CCUACGGGUGGCAGCAGUGGGGAUAUUGCACAAUGGGGGAAACCCUGAUGCAGCGACGCCGCGUGAGUGAAGAAGUAUUUCGGUAUGUAAAGCUCUAUCAGCUGGGAAGAAAAUGACGGGAACGGAUGAAGAAGCGCCGGCUAACUACGUGCAAGCAGCCGCGGUAAUAGGUAGGGGGGAAGCGUUAACCGGAUUGACGGGGUGGAAAGUGAGCGUAGACGGGAGCAGAAGUCGGGCGGGAAAGGCCGGGGCGUAACCCCGGAACUGCGGUGGAAACUGGGCAGCUAGCGUGCAGGAGCGGUAUGUGGGAUGCCUCGUGUAGCGGUGAAAUGCGUAGAUAUUAGGAGGAACUCCAGUGGCGCCGGCGGCUUACUGGACUGUAACUGACGUUGCGGCUCGAAAGCGUGGGGAGCAAACAGGAUUAGAUACCCGUGUAGUC
rnacentral:rRNA from 1 species